UUGACCUCGGAUCAGGUAGGGAUACCCGCUGAACUUAAGCAUAUCAAUAAGCGGAGGAAAAGAAACCAACAGGGAUUGCCUCAGUAACGGCGAGUGAAGCGGCAACAGCUCAAAUUUGAAAUCUGGCCCCGGGGUCCGAGUUGUAAUUUGCAGAGGAUGCUUCGGGUGAGGCGCCGAUCUAAGUUCCCUGGAACAGGACGUCACAGAGGGUGAGAAUCCCGUACGUGACCGGCUGCCGAGCCCGCGCGAAGCUCCUUCGACGAGUCGAGUUGUUUGGGAAUGCAGCUCUAAAUGGGUGGUAAAUUUCAUCUAAAGCUAAAUACCGGCCGGAGACCGAUAGCGCACAAGUAGAGUGAUCGAAAGAUGAAAAGCACUUUGGAAAGAGAGUUAAAAAGUACGUGAAAUUGUUGAAAGGGAAGCGCUUGCGGCCAGACUCGCUUGGGGGUGAUCAGCCGCUAUUUGUAGCGGUGCACUCGCCCUCCGGCGGGCCAGCAUCAGUUCGGGCGGCCGGACAAAGGCCGAGGGAACGUAGCUCCCCCCGGGGAGUGUUAUAGCCCGCGGUGCAAUGCGGCCAGCUGGGACUGAGGACCGCGCUUCGGCUAGGAUGCUGGCGUAAUGGUCGCAAGCGGCCCGUCUUGAAACACGGACCAAGGAGUCUAACAUCUAUGCGAGUGUUUGGGUGUCAAACCCACACGCGGAAUGAAAGUGAACGGAGGUGGGAACCCCUCGGGGCGCACCAUCGACCGAUCCAGAUGUCUUCGGAUGGAUUUGAGUAGGAGCAUAGCUGUUGGGACCCGAAAGAUGGUGAACUAUGCCUGAAUAGGGUGAAGCCAGAGGAAACUCUGGUGGAGGCUCGCAGCGGUUCUGACGUGCAAAUCGAUCGUCAAUUUGGGUAUAGGGGCGAAAGACUAAUCGAACUAUCUAGUAGCUGGUUCACGCCGAAGUUUCCCUCAGGAUAGCAGUAACGUUUUCAGUUUUAUGAGGUAAAGCGAAUGUUUAGUGGCCUUGGGGUUAAAAUAACCUUAACCAAUUCUCAACCUUC
rnacentral:rRNA from 1 species